CACGUAGGGGGCGAGCGUUGUCCGGAUUUAUUGGGCGUAAAGAGCUCGUAGGCGGUUCGAUAAGUCGGGUGUGAAAACUCUGGGCUCAACUCAGAGACGCCACCCGAUACUGUCGUGACUGGAGUCUGGUAGGGGAGUGUGGAAUUCCCGGUGUAGCGGUGAAAUGCGCAGAUAUCGGGAGGAACACCAGUGGCGAAGGCGGCACUCUGGGCCAGUACUGACGCUGAGGAGCGAAAGCGUGGGGAGCGAACAGGAUUAGAAACCCUAGUAGUCC
rnacentral:rRNA from 1 species